UACAGAGGUCUCAAGCGUUGUUCGGAUUCAUUGGGCGUAAAGGGUGCGUAGGCGGCGCGGUAAGUCGGGUGUGAAAUCUCGGAGCUUAACUCCGAAACUGCAUUCGAUACUGCCGUGCUUGAGGACUGGAGAGGAGACUGGAAUUUACGGUGUAGCGGUGAAAUGCGUAGAUAUCGUAAGGAAGACCAGUGGCGAAGGCGGGUCUCUGGACAGUUCCUGACGCUGAGGCGCGAAAGCGUGGGGAGCGAACGGG
rnacentral:rRNA from 1 species